GACGAACGCUGGCGGCGUGCCUAAUACAUGCAAGUUGAGCGCUGAAGGUUGGUACUUGUACCGACUGGAUGAGCAGCGAACGGGUGAGUAACGCGUGGGGAAUCUGCCUUUGAGCGGGGGACGAACAUUUGGAAACGAAUGCUAAUACCGCAUAACAACUUUAAACACAAGUUUAAGUUUGUAAAGAUGCAAUUGCAUCACUCAAAGAUGAUCCCGCGUUGUAUUAG
rnacentral:rRNA from 1 species